AACUAGAAGAGAUAAUGUUCUUAUUGAUUCUAAACUGCAUGAUGGUAUUCGGUAUAGAUCUCAAACAAAGCAUGACUGUAAUUCCUAGCUGGGAUUGGAGAGGGUAAAAAGCUUGCUAACCGGGUGAUUUGAAUACAAAGAUGUAUACAAGUGAUAUAAUUUAAGUUUGCAGUACCUGAAAUAAAUGAACUUAACAUCUAUUAUAAUUUUUGUAUGUAGACAUGGAGAAAAGCAGCAGAUUAAUAUAAAAAAGGUUUUCAAAAAAGAAAUGAAAGUGGAUAAAUACAUAAAUAGUUGAACAGCAGCAACAGUAACAACAACAGCAAAUAAAUGAGCAAUGUUGCAAGACACAGUUACAGCCUCACAAACUUGUGAACAUCAAUACCCAAACCACACUUGGGAAUGAGUUUGUUGAAGGAAAACAAGGUAUUGAAGUGUGUCAUUGCUGCUGGCUGUGUACAACCCCUGAACACCAAAGAUCAACCUCCUCUUCAGAUGCAGUUACUCAGAUAACAGCACUGCAGAUAGGUCAUUUUGUAACCUUGAAUUUUCAAAGUCACAAGUUUACUCCAAUUUCAAGAAGUUACAAGUGACACUUCUGUGGCACCUGUCACUGCGAGAAGCUGCCCUGCUCUCUACAAGGGAAUUGUUGUGGUUACAUUCCAAAUAUUUUCCAUGUGCAUGUUUCAAUAUUUUAGAUCUGGUAUUCUUUGAUUCUUUGUCUUGCUCAAAAGCAAGAUUGUGCCAUCAAAACCUAUAAUCCAUUUUAAUCCAGAAUUCACUUGAACUGUUUCUCAUACUCUUGGAUGUCUGUUGACCAGAUUUUUCUUUGAAAAAUUUUUUUUAUUGCUCAGAUAUAUGUCUGUUAUCAUGUUCACUCUACCAGUGUUGUAAAUAGUCAUUUUUCACUAAAAGCAUCCAGUUUGACAUAUUCAUAACUACUUUAUUGUGUUCAUUCAGUUUGUUGUUGCUGUGUGUGUGUAUUCAGGAAGACCUUUUAUAUUUUUAUAAAUUAAUUGGAUUUUAUUAUCGGUUAACAAAAACCUUAUUGUUUGUAUUAUAUAUUAAAAUGUUAUUGUCUUCAAAGCACAAAAAUAGAAGAACAUUUGUCAACAGCUGUGUACCUGAUGCGCAGUGAGCUUAGAUAUUAUUGUAAAUUGUAUAAUGUAUGAAAAUCUAUAAAUAGUCUAACCAAAGCCUUUAAAAAUUAUCAUAUUGUUGAUAUCGGGUAAAUGAUGAUGAAUCUGGUGCAAGAGUUUUCAUAAGUCCAUUUGUAUAAAUAUCAUCAGUAACCCCUUUUGAAGAUAUUCAGUGUACAUACUUGUAUGAAAUAUAAAUAUAAUAAAUUGUAAAAUUAAAA